GCCAGGUAUAGUGGUGCAUGCCUGUAAUCCCAGCUACCUGGGAGGCUGAGGCAGGAGAAUCGCUGGAACCUGGGAGGCAGAGGCUGCAGUGAGCCAUUAUUGUGCCACUGCACUCCAGCCUGGGUGACAUAGCGAGAUUCUGUCUCAA
rfam:Homo sapiens chromosome 12, GRCh38 reference primary assembly.